rnacentral:rRNA from 1 species
AGUGAACGCUGGCGGUAGGCCUAACACAUGCAAGUCGAACGGCAGCACAGUAAGAGCUUGCUCUUACGGGUGGCGAGUGGCGGACGGGUGAGGAAUACAUCGGAAUCUACUUUUUCGUGGGGGAUAACGUAGGGAAACUUACGCUAAUACCGCAUACGACCUACGGGUGAAAGCAGGGGAUCUUCGGACCUUGCGCGAUUGAAUGAGCCGAUGUCGGAUUAGCUAGUUGGCGGGGUAAAGGCCCACCAAGGCGACGAUCCGUAGCUGGUCUGAGAGGAUGAUCAGCCACACUGGAACUGGGACAGGGUCCAGACUCCUACGGGAGGCAGCAGUGGGGAAUAUUGGGCAAUGGGCGCAAGCCUGAUCCAGCCAUACCGCGUGGGUGAAGAAGGCCUUCGGGGUGUAAAGCCCUUUUGUUGGGAAAGAAAAGCAGCAGGUUAAUACCCCGCUGUUCUGACGGUACCCAAAGAAUAAGCACCGGCUAACUUCGUG